GAAACAGUCUUUGGAAUUCAAAGCCUAUCUUGAACCAAACAUUUGAUUAGUCACUACAAAAACUGUUGAUGUAUAUCGUUCAUCAAAGAGUUCUAUAUGACCACUUGUUUUCAAGGCACAAAAUAUGGCAGAUCCUUACAUUCAGGAAGCUAAGAAAUAUACCGAGCCAUACAUUGAUCGGGUUGCAAUGGUGACAAAAACACAUUUAGAUAAAUUACAAGAAAGAAAAUGCCAAUGCAGUUCUCCUUGUUGCAAGCCAGGAGGAUAGGGAAAAACUAUUUGAAGGAAUACUUAAACAGAAAUGGAAGAUCUUCUCUUGAUGAUCAUCUUCAUUAAUUCAUUUAUGGAGCAGCAGAGA